GGAAGACCUGAUGUGGAGGAAGACCAGGGGAAAAUCAUAACGAUGGAGAUGAGAAAUGGCUUUGCCAGGCUUUGGACACACAAGGGGGAUUCUCCUGAUUCUCCAUGCCCUUGGAAAUGAUGGUGGAUUUACGCUGAGCUAAUUGUCGCUUGCAAGCUGAGCAGGAAUGAGGCUGUGUGAAAUGCUGGAGAGUGCCUUGAUAAACAAAGUGCCAGAGUAAACUGAAUUGCAGAUCUGGAUGCUUUGAUGAGAGAUGCUGUCCAUGGAUUGCAUUGCCUUGCUCCUGCUUGCUUCUGUCUCAUCAAUAUUGGGCAGGUGAAGGGACCUUUGCAUGUAAUUGAGAUGGGGAAGUGUAUCUACAGCAGAUUCAAAGAAAACUCUCCUAAUUGAACUGGCAGCGCAGAUGGGAGGAAUUUUUGGGACAUCAUCUUGAGACUUCUCAGCACUGCUGAUGCCCAGGAAAACCAUGGUUGGAUUCAGCCCUGAACAAGAUGCAUUCUGUCUGUAGAUGAGACUGGCUGAAAGAAUUGAUGGUUGCUUUCAUACCACAGAUCCCACCAGGUCCUGGGUGACUGGGAAAAAACCCAAUGGGUUUUGCACAACAUCCAACAAGACUGGAGGAUAUGACUACUCUGUACAUAAUAGAGCUGUGGGAGAGGUUUGUGUCCCAUCCACACUAUGACUACCAUAGCUUUUCUUUUUGCUAGCAGAAUGGUUUUUUCAUUAUUUUCUGCUAUGACUAGGUUUGUUUUGUUUUUUUAAUUGGUUUGUUUAUUACCUAGCACCCUGGGGACUGGAAGUAACAUAACAACGUGAUGAUGGAGGCACUAUAUAAAAAAAUCACUCUCUACAACUGACUUAAGAAUCUGCAUCUCUGCAGCCCACUUUGGUUGGGUUUCUUGCAGCCUAGCCUGAGUCUGGCAAAGCCUUGGAAGCUUUUUUACUUUUAUUGAGAAAAAGAAGAGACUUCAGGCUGCCACAUACUCCAAGACAAACUCAAGUCAAGCCAUGGUUAUCAUCACAGUGUGUCACUGUUGUGCCUCUGCCCAGGGAGGGGAACUUUUCCCAUUUUUAAUGCUGCUUCUCACCUAGAAAUGUCCUAAAGGAAAGUUAGCAGGAGUCCAGCACUGAGUCUUUGAUUUCAUCCUACUUCUCCCCACGCAUCCUCAUCACAAGCACAGAAGAAAACAGCCCAAACUUCUGCAUUCCACAUUUUUCAAGAUUCCUGAGCCCUGGGAAGGUCCUAGGAAGGCAGAGAAUCAGCAUGGAAGAACCUGGUGUCCUGCCAUACUGAAGAACUUCAACAUGAAUGGGAGAAUAUUUUUGCAUGUAAUUAUUUUCUUUGCUCAGAAUAUGCCACCAGAGUAGCAAAUCCAUAAGGCAAAGAGUUCUAGUAAAAAAACAAGGAAAUCACAUCUCACAUGGUGCUUUGCUGUGU